rnacentral:rRNA from 1 species
UGAACGCUGGCGGCGUGCCUAAUACAUGCAAGUCGAGCGAACGGACGAGAAGCUUGCUUCUCUGAUGUUAGCGGCGGACGGGUGAGUAACACGUGGAUAACCUACCUAUAAGACUGGGAUAACUUCGGGAAACCGGAGCUAAUACCGGAUGAUAUUUUGAACCGCAUGGUUCAAAAGUGAAAGACGGUCUUGCUGUCACUUAUAGAUGGAUCCGCGCUGCAUUAGCUAGUUGGUAAGGUAACGGCUUACCAAGGCAACGAUGCAUAGCCGACCUGAGAGGGUGAUCGGCCACACUGGAACUGAGACACGGUCCAGACUCCUACGGGAGGCAGCAGUAGGGAAUCUUCCGCAAUGGGCGAAAGCCUGACGGAGCAACGCCGCGCGAGUGAUGAAGGUCUUCGGAUCGUAAAACUCUGUUAUUAGGGAAGAACAUAUGUGUAAGUAACUGUGCACAUCUUGACGGUACCUAAUCAGAAAGCCACGGCUAACUACGUG